AUUUCAGUAACAUUGGAAUACGGAUCACAUAUUGACUUUGCAACUUGCCAUUUUGAAUAAAACCUAGUAAAAACUGAAGUAAGUCCUCAUCAUGAUUCUUUAUAUUUUACAGACAUUUCACAGUCCAGAGCAGCAGGUCCCACACAGCCUCAUCUCAGCGUUUUCCCGCAAACCAUGCAAGGCGACAGGAAGAGGUCCUUCAAAAGCGAGUGGUACAAACCAUACCCAUGGCUUGAGUACUCACAAAGUCAAAACUCUUCGUACUGUUUUGCAUGCAGACAUUUUUCUUUGCCAAACACCCAGGCAUCUGCAUUUACAUCAUCUCUGGGAUUCUCUCAUUGGAAAAAGGCAAUGUUUAAAGAUGGUGGAUUCAAAGGACAUGAAAAGUCAGAGGGUCAUGUCAAUGCCAUGUUUGCAUGGGGUGAGCACAAGAAGGCAGCCCUAACAGAUACUUCCAUACGUGAUGUCCUUAAUGAAGCAUAUAACCAGAAAGUACAUGAGAAUCGAAAAUAUAAUGAAACAGUGGCUGAAGUACUCCUUUUGACUGCAACACAAAACAUUGCACGAGGUCACCGUGAAACAGAGGAGGCAGCAAACAGAGGGAACUUCUUAGAAAUAUUAGAAAUGAUUGCAAAGCAUGACCCAGUGGUAGAGAAAAAAAUGAAAGGAAAGCAGAAUGCAAAGUACACAAGCAGUGUGAUACAAAAUGAAAUCUUGGAUUGCUUAGCAAACAUGGUUCACGAGGAGAUCAUUCAGGAAGUGAAGGAAAGUGAAGUUUUCUCUGUUACUGCUGAUUAAACCAAAGACUUGAAAAAAAGGAGCAGCUCUCACUGGUACUUCGGUACUAUUAUAACGGGGCAGUGCACGAAAGUUUUCUCGAGUUUCAACAAGCCACGCAAUUAGAUGCAGAGGGACUCAAGGACAAAAUCAUCCACUGCCUGGAGAGAUAUGGACUUGAGUACAGAUCCAAUCUUGUUGGACAAGGCUAUGCUGGAGCGUCCGUUAUGAGUGGAAGACACUCUGGAGUGGCAGCCAGAAUAAAGAGUGACGCCAAACAUGCAGUUUACGUACACUGCAAUGCACAUUGUUUGAACUUGGUGCUUGUUGACACUGUGAAGGCAGUCCCAGAGGCUGACUGCUUUUUUGCACUGUUGCAGAAACUGUAUGUGUACAUGUCUGGAUCAUAUGUUCGUCAUAAAUGGCUGGAUGUGCAAAAGGAAAUGUAUGAAGGUCCACCACCGGAGUUACAGAAGCUAAGUGACACUAGAUGGGCAUGUAGAUACCUGGCCUGCAGAAAUCUAAUGGACCGAUUACCUGCUGUGCUUCGUGUUCUGCAUGACAUUACAACUGAAAAUAGUGGGGAAAGAUCCAUAGAUGCUCGAGGUUUGCUGACUCAGCGAGACUUAAGCUUCAUCAGUCUUCUUGCAACUUUUCGAAGGCUCCUUGGGGAUGCAAAAGUCCUGUCUGACAUGCUCCAGUCUCCUUCACUUGACCUUGCCAUGGCAGUGGAUUUAGUCAAUGCACUCAAAGACUCUCUUCAGGAGUACAGAAGUGAGACAUUUGCUGAUAAUCUGUGGGGAAGCAUUGUAGAAACUGCCACAGAGUGCAGUAUAGCCAUUCAAAGUACAGAGAAAAAGAGGUCUCAAACAGUUAGUUCCAGACUUGGUGGGUUUGUAAUAGCCUCUACAUGGGGUCAGCGCAAAUGCAUGGAGGGAGACAAGGAUGCAGACAAGGAUGCCUUCAGGAGAACAAUCUUCUACCCUAUUGUGGACACCAUACUUGGAGAGUUAGACAGACGCUUCUCAAAAGACAAUUGUGACAUCAUGAGAGGAAUACAAGCUCUGGACCCCAAAAGCAAAACUUUUCUUCAAGAGGCAGCAGUCUUUCGCUUGGGAGAAAUUUAUGCAAGUGAUUCUGAAGAUCUGGGUCAUGAACUCCACCAAACAAGAAGGCUUUUGCAAAGGAAACAACAAAGUGGCAUGCCGAAUUUGUCUAGUAUUGUUAGUAUUACAGCUCUUUCCUGUAGAUAUGUUAUUAUUAGAGGUUAGAAUGGUUCACAUCAUGUUUUAACUGACCAACAAUAUGCAACACACUGACAAGACAGCUUACCUGAUUUUCAGUAUGUGGAAUCUGAAAAUCCUCAUGCUCUGGCCUCGACAUUUCAUUUGAGAUGACAGGUGUGUUGACUUCACUGUUGGUUCUUUGCAUUCCUCGUGUUUGCGUGGCACAGUCCAAAAAAAUUGGUGUGUCAACAUGUUCACCUCCAACAUGAGGUAGGUCAGAUGUAGGUGUCCUCAUCCAUCCAGUGCGUGGGUGGCCAGUCGCAAAAUACAAGGUAUGUGUGCGUCUGAUAUGGUCGUAAAAGGAGUUAAAGACUCUGUAUUCCUCGGUGCAGCCAUCAAUUCCACAAAUAACACGGAAAUCUGGAUUGUGACUGUGCGCUAUGUUAAUAUGGCUCAAUAGAGACUUCAAUGUUAAGGCAACAAAAACCAAACAAAUCACACACCUCCAACAGGCCAUGGUGUUUCCGCCAAGAAAGAACCUCAGUGUCGGCUGAUAAGUGAGAGAGGAUCUUUAAGCUAAUGAAAAUCUCUACUGAGCUCAAAAGCAAAUCUUGCUAGCUUAGCGACACAAAUAUUAAUAAGACUGUAUUUGAAAAGCCCAGACAGCACAAGUUAAUCAAAAGUUGAAGACACCUAAUGCACGUACCGGACGAUUCAAACCGCACCAUUCAACUUCCUGAUAUGUGGUUGGCGGGCUCAUAGGUCAAUACCAAAUCAGGAGUGUGGUGGGGGAGGGUAUUUAUACUAUAUAACAGGCUCCUUAGUAACGCAAUGCAAAAGGAACAAAUGCAGGUUUGGCAGUCAACGUAUAAUUUAUAGCUAUAAUAUCUGCCCACUAUAGCUACAUAUUGUAGCGGCGGCAGGCGCCGCUGGGGGCCGCCAUAUUGUUGUACUGUGUGUUUGGUGCCGCAAGGCAUCAUGGGAGGGAAUUGUUCGGGCCGUUUCAUGCCGUAUUUUGUGUUUAAAUGUACUUUGUUUCGUUCCACAUGUGUUAAGUAAUUGUUUUUCUAUGUGUUGAUGCCAUUUUAUGUUAAGCUAUGUCGGACCAGGAAUAAGAAGGGUUGGUGUGAGAGUGACCUGGCCUGCCUGUUAGCUGAGUAGAGGCAGAGGCAAGUGCUUAGUUGUUGUAACAAUAAAACUUUGGCGUGUUGAAAUCAAUGAGCGGUGUCCUUCUGCGUGCCGUUGCUUUACCGGCUGGCAUCGCAAGCCUCCUCUCGUGGCUAACUUUGCUGCUAAGGAGCACUGCUGCUUCGCGGCUGCGGAGGAGAUCGCAGCUGAAGCAUCAACGCCGAGCAUCGCGGUGAACAACGCAGACGAAACGACGUCGACAUGGAGAGGGUCGCAGCUGAGCCACACCGUCGCUGCGUGUCGCAUCGCCAUCGCAGCCACCAUUGCCGCACCCGCCCAUAGCUCAGUUGUUAUAACAAUAGAGUUGCGGUGUGCUGGAACCUAAAGAGCAGACACAUUCCUCCUCACGUCGCCGCCCCACCGUUACAAUAUUAUUUUUUAUAUAUACAUUUAACACAGACUGACAUGUUUUGCGUGAGCCCCCCUCCCCCCUCCAUCACUGCGCUCAUGUGGUCACGUCUGCUCGAUCUGUUGGAAGGAGGGAACAGCCGGUUUAAACUGGAUCUGGAUGUUGCGCCUGGACUGUAUGGUAAAGGAGCAACUUACAGGACCACAAAAGAUUACCAUGGAUGGCUUGGAUGACGACACAUUAUCCACUCUAAAUGCUGCCAACAUUGAUGAGGCUUUGCUCCACACCCUCAGUCGUGAUGAUUUGAAAGACUUGUUUCCUGGGCCAGAGAACUUUCUCAGGAGGAAACAACUGUGGGGUCUUAUAAGUCAAGAGGAUGAGAAUUCCACCUCACCAGACAAAGCAGACCCUGGUGAAACAGGAAUUGUUUCCCCACCUCAAGGAGCACCUCCAAUCUCCCCCCAGGUGUCUACUCCUUUGGUGAAGAGAAAUCCACAGAAGACCCUGCAGCUCCCCAGUCCUCCAGAAUGUGUGCUCUAUACAGACAGCGAGUUGGAACUAGCUCGCAAGCACUAUUUUGAGAUGGCCCGCAUUGGUAGAGAGGAGGAAUCUACCAUGUCCAAAGAGCUGAGGUGCAGGCUAGUGAGGAACACCAUCACCAGCAUGAUUUCUAUCUUGAGAGCAAGUCAGCAAGGAGAAGAGCUCCGCUACCCUUGCAAGCAUGAAGUUACUGCCAUGGCUAAGAGACUAGUGGAGUAUUAUCCCAUGCUACAGGAUAAAGUUGGACCCUUGAAACAUAUGAGCAUGUACAAUUAUCUUCAGAAGAGGAUGCUGAAUGUGAAGUCCCCACAAAGAGGCAGGGGCCAACCCCACAAAGAGGCCGUCCAAACAAAAGGGGCCGUGUCGACUUCUCACCAAAUGACCAGGAAGCAGAGCGUGAUGCAGACUCAAGUGGUGGAUCAACUAUUCUUUUGCCACCUGAGAGCAGCUCUGAUCGUGACAGUUCAUCGGAAAUGGACAGCCUGGCAACACAGGCCAGGCAUUACAAGACUCUGCAGGAGAUGUAUAAAAAACCAAAACCAAACCAAGAUGCUGUCUGCCAAAUCCUUGACCUUGAGUUUCAGGCAAGAAGAGCCUUCAUUGACACUGAUCUCCUGAAAGAAGAGGACAAGGCUACAAAGAUUUUGGAGGUGAUGGAUGAGCUGCGACGGAUCCUGGACAUGGGAAACAGCAAAUUCAUAGCUGAAGUAAAGGAAAGAUGUGAGGAGUUCUACUCCAUGGUGCAGUUUUAUGGUGUUUGGAAGAAGGUGUUGAAGCCACCCAUGAACCUGGGUGGAGUGGAUUACUACAUUGCGCUGUUCAGAGCACUCCCCACGCUCUUCCCAUCUCCAACUGCACCCCCGAAAAAACUGGGACAUGCCAAUGAGGCAUUGCUUCUCGUCCUUGAGAAGAUCCUGCCAUCUAUCUCCAGAAGAGGUCUUUCCCCAGCCCUCUGUUGUUGUUUGAUGGGUCUCGCUGUCUUGUGGCAAUUGGAACAACUCCCAUCACCACCUUUGCCAAAGAAGACCUUGGUCACGGUCUGCUUUAUCUGCUGGCUUUUUACUACACCCUGCAUCAUACCUAUCCGAAGUGUGUGGCAACCCUUCUGUCUGUGUUUCAGACAGAAGUGUUGAAGGACAAUAUCCAUGACCGCGACACCACAGGGUCAUACAAAAGAGCCAUAGCCGAGUGGAAGGGAUUUACUGAGAAGUAGAGCUGCUCAGGCUGGGGGUAAAUGCCUUGUUGAUGUUGUUGAAAACCUAUGCCCAAAUGUUCAUUGUGGUUAUAAACAUGUUUGUACUGCUGGGAGCCAUACAAAAUAAUACACAGCUCUACCACUGUAAGAUGAAGGGAGACUUACCAGUUAAAUGAUGAUGAACAGAGUGAUGUGCCAUGUUGCUUGAAUUACCUUCAGAUUAUUUCUAAACUUCUGUGGAUGUUGUAAAUGUUUAAUGUUAUACACAUUGUGCGUUCAUACGAAAUGCUUCAGUUCUUUGUUUUGAGAAGCAAAAAGUAAUCUUUGCUAGCACUGUAUGGAUGAAGCCAUAAUUGAGGAAUAAUUCAAAUAAAUGUUAUUGCCAGUGCCAAUUCUGUGUGCUUUCAUUUAGCAUAUGUGCUUUUUCUCAUUUUGAGCUAGAAAAGCUAAUGAGGAAUAAUAAUCUUGUUUAGUUGCUCUAGUUUUAAAAUAUAUUCACUUAAAUUGAGUAAGAAACAAGCAGUCAAAGAAAUUGACAAACUAGUUUUGAGUUUAUUUUACUUAAAGGUAUAAUACACAAUUUUGAUUUCCGGGUGGAUCA